AACGAACGCUGGCGGCAUGCCUAACACAUGCAAGUCGAACGAGACCUUCGGGUCUAGUGGCGCACGGGUGCGUAACGCGUGGGAACCUGCCCUUAGGUUCGGAAUAACUCCCCGAAAGGGGUGCUCAUACCGGAUAAUGUCUUCGCACCAAAGAUUUAUCGCCUUUGGAUGGGCCCGCGUUGGAUUAGCUAGUUGGUAGGGUAAAAGCCUACCAAGGCGACGAUCCAUAGCUGGUCUGAGAGGAUGAUCAGCCACACUGGGAAUGCGACACGGACCAGUCUCCGACGGGAGGCAGCAGUGGGGAAUAUUAGACACUGGGCGAAAGCCUGAUCCAGCAACGCGGCGGGAGUGAUGAAGGCCUUAGGGCUGUAAAGCUCUUUUACCCGGGAUGAGAAUGACAGUACCGGGAGAAGAAGCACCGGCUAACUCCGUG
rnacentral:rRNA from 1 species